ACUGCAAUUGCCCAGUAACGGCGAGUGAAGCGGCAAAAGCUCAAUUUUGAAAUCCCCCCGGGGAGUUGUAAUUUGAAGACUAGGGGAUUUGGCCCAAACCUGCGCAAGUCCAUUGGAACAUGGCGCCCAAGAGGGUGAGAGCCCCGUCGCGCAGGCCGCAGCCUUGACAUCCCCCCGUCAAAGAGUCGAGUUGUUUGGGAAUGCAGCUCAAAGUGGGUGGUAAAUUCCAUCUAAAGCUAAAUAUUGGCGAGAGACCGAUAGCGAACAAGUACAGUGAUGGAAAGAUGAAAAGCACUUUGAAAAGAGAGUGAAACAGUACGUGAAAUUGUUGAAAGGGAAGGGCUUGCAAGCAGACACGAGUUCGCUCGGGCCAGCAUCAAUUUCGCGAGGUGGACAACACGCCAGGAAUGUGGCAGGCUCCGGCCUGUGUUAUAGCCUGCGCGCCAUACACCUCCGCGAGAUUGAGGCCUGCUCCAAAAGGAUGCUGGCGUAAUGGUUGCAAGUCGCCCGUCUUGAAMCMACGGAMCCAAAAAUA
rnacentral:rRNA from 1 species